rnacentral:sRNA from 2 species
UAUCUCUCCGUACGGGGAAGGAUGAGAAGCUUCGACUAAGGUUCGAUUCGAGCGCAGCGAGAAAGCGUUGCCGUAGGCAACGACCCGAAGGGCGAAGCGCGCAACGCUGAGUCAUCCUUCCCCCACCACCA